UACAGAGGUCUCAAGCGUUUGUUCGGAUUCAUUGGGCGUAAAGGGUGCGUAGGCGGAUUGUUAAGUCAGUGGUGAAAGCUCCCGAGCCCAACUCGGAAACUGCCAUUGAUACUGAUGAUCUUGAGUACAUUUGAGGUGGGCGGAAUGUGUCAUGUAGCGGUGAAAUGCUUAGAGAUGACACAGAACACCGAUUGCGAAGGCAGCUCACUAAACUGUAACUGACGCUGAGGCACGAAAGCGUGGGGGAGCAAACAGG
rnacentral:rRNA from 1 species